AAUUUGCGUUCUCUGGAAUUUAAUGAGAAUAGAGAGAGAGAGAGAGAGGUGGUGGGAAGGAGACGAACUCUCCACCACCGUCGACCAGCAGCACCAAUGACCACGACUACCGGAGCCGCCCCACCUCCAACUCCUGCCACCACCAUAGGAGGCAAAAUGUGCUCUGCCUAGUAUUGACGAAUACAAUUGAAGACCACUGGAAUCGACGCCAUAUCAAGGUUAGUCCCUUUUGGAAAGUCUCUCUUUGCCCGCGAUGUAGUCAUUCCGAAGGUGGUGUGCCAGAGUAUUGACAAAGUCAGAAUUGAAGGCCAUCAAGAACACUCUGAAGGCCAUCAAGAAGAUUGACAAAGUCAGAAUUGAAAGGGAGGCUAGACACCAUACUAGAAGGUUUCCUUCCUUUUCUCUUGUCGUUUGCCCUUGAAAGGAUAUCAUAAAUUGGUUUCGUUCUUUCAAGUUAAUUUUUUUCAAAACAUCUCUGCUUAAAUUAUCUACUUGAAAAUAUGGACCGGAUGUUUUUCGGUUUUUUUUUUUUAAUACUGGUUUUGAAUACCUAUUUUCGGUUGUAAUAUUAAAUUUCAUGAUCAGUUGGUUGAGUUUUUGUUUGAGGGAUUUUCUUUGGGCGAUUAUUGGCAAGUAGUGAUUGUAAUGUCCUACUUUAGUUUUCCUUUUUAAUUGUAGUUAUUUGAGCUUCA